GUAACCUUGCUCACAAUAAACAGACCUUGACAACCAUUGCUUGGUCUUGCUCCUUUCUCCCCUAUUUCUCUUUCAGGCAUGGUCCCCCCCUCGUGGGGACGAAUAACUGAGUCCUGCGGGUCGGGACAAGUGGCGCCUAACGUGGGGCUCGAGGUACAAACCCUUGCCAGAUAGAGACCACCUUCCAGUUCCCGGGAUCAUCUCGCCGUUUGCACAACACGUUUCAUCUGGGUGCGCUCUCAGCGCUCAUGAGAGAAUGUCAUCCUUGGGUCAGUAAAAGAUCUUCAAGAUCAAGUGGAUUCCCUGGCAAAAGUGGUCCUACAAAAUAGACGAGGCCUUGAUUUACUAACUGCAGACAAGGGAGGUAUCUGCUUAGCUUUACAGGAAAAAUGCUGUUUCUAUACAAACAAGUCUGGGAUCGUCGGAGACAGAAUCAGAAAACACCAAGAAGACCUAGAAAAAAGACGUCAAGAACUCUUCGCCAAUCCCAUGUGGAGUGUCUGGAAUGGAGUGUUGCCUUACCUCCUUCCCCUCCUUGCCCCGGAUAGGAUUUCUUUUACUUAUCUCUUUUGGACCCUGGGCAUUUAGGAAGGUCACAGAUUUGGUAAAAUCAGAAAUAGAUGCAGCCUUUAAGAAGCCAGUGUCGCCUUUAAGAAGCCAGUGUCACCUUGAAGUCUGAGACAUUGGCCAAGAUACUUAUGCUGAGCCCCCAGGCACCCCUUCGGUAGGCCUAGAUUUCACAGUCCUAGACCCAGGCCCCGACCAAGGGUGCUUUGGUAAGCUAUGGAGACAUCAAUGACAGGAAUAGCAUGAUGCCACAUACCAGGAGGCACACCCAUGAUAGGCUGUAGAGCAUCUCAAUGACAGGAUUAUUGCGAGUCCAUGAUCCAGGAGCCCACUCUGAAUUGACAGUGCUGGGUAUGGAGGCCAUUUGCAUAGCCUAAGACAGAGACUCUACCCUCAGACCCAACCAUGUCGGGUGCUGGUUGUGGAUGCACAUCAUGUAGCCUAAGACAGAUGCUCCAUCUAUAAUAUAAAAGAGAGGGAAAUGUUGGAGACUGACACUGAGCCAUAAGCCAAAGUUCCCCUCCCUUCUUGAGAAACUUCUGACCUUUUGAAAUGACAGCUGACAGAAUAUCAAGAUCAGAUAAUAGUAUCUGCAAACUUUCUGAGGAAAACCACAGAAUGUUCCCUGAGCUAAGAGUAGAUACUACGUUCCCAGGCAGUUAAGCAGAACUACCCCUCCCCCCAGGCUGAGGCACAGGCAAGGUUCUCCCUCUUUACUUCCUCCUUCUUACUGCUUAUAUUCUGUAACCUUGCUCACAAUAAACAGACCUUGACAACCAUU
rnacentral:lncRNA from 1 species